GUGUGUUUGCAUAUGUGUCCUGCCUCUCUGCUCCCAGCCGUUAAGAGGCCAGUGUUGAUCAGUGGCUGUCCAGGCCUUUCACAGCCACUGACACGCCGGCAGCACAAUGAUGAUGUCACUGACUCUACUGCUGGCCGCCCUGGGGCUCCUUGUUCAGGGUUCAUCAGGAGAUAUCAUCCUGACUCAGUCUCCUGGAUCUCAGUCUGUUCUUCCAGGACAGUCUGUCUCCAUCACAUGUAGAUCCAGUUCAAGUGUUGGUAGCUACCUCCACUGGUACCUUCAGAAACCUGGAGAAACUCCUAAACUAAUGAUUUAUACAGCUACAUCUCGUCAGUCUGGAGUUUCAGAUCGUUUCAGUGGAAGUUAUUCUGGAUUUGUCUUCACUUUGACCAUCAGUAGAGUUCAGGCUGAAGAUUCAGGAGUUUAUUAUUGUCAGCAGAGUAACAGCUUCCCGUUCACACAGUGAAAAACCGUCGUACAAAAACCUCCAUCAGCUGAAGAGGAACUGAUCAACAGCUGCAAUGAAACUAAACCAACAGAGGUUUGACAAAUACAAAUAUGAAUCAUAAAAUGACACAAACGCUGGUGAUAUUUUACUUUAAAUUAUUAACAUAUUAAGUCUAGUUUAAGACAUCAAUAUUUUUCAUCAAUUUUUUUUCCUCACCACAAGUGCAACAAUUCUAGUGCAAUAACACGAUGUUCAAUACGCUACUGUGUACAUUCAGAU